GAUGAACGCUAGCGGCAGGCUUAACACAUGCAAGUCGAGGGGCAGCAUGAGACGGAGAUUCGUCGAAGUCUUGAUGGCGACCGGCGCAAGGGUGCGUAACGCGUGAGCAACUUGCCCGUUUCAGGGGGAUAACCGGUGGAAACGCCGACUAAUACCCCAUAGUAUUGGUUUGAGGCAUCUCUUACCAAUUAAAGAAUUUCGGAAACGGAUAGGCUCGCGUGACAUUAGCUAGAUGGCGGGGUAACGGCCCACCAUGGCGACGAUGUCUAGGGGUUCUGAGAGGAAGGUCCCCCACACUGGAACUGAGACACGGUCCAGACUCCUACGGGAGGCAGCAGUGAGGAAUAUUGGUCAAUGGUCUGACGACUGAACCAGCCAUGCCGCGUGAAGGUCACGGCCCUAUGGGUCUUAAACUUCUUUUGUUAGGGAGCAAUAAGUUCUACGUGUAGGAUGAUGAGAGUACCUAACGAAUAAGCAUCGGCUAACUCCGUGCCAGCCGCCGCAGUAAUAC
rnacentral:rRNA from 1 species